AAACGAUAAAUUUGUAACAUGCAGUAAGAAUUCGUUAUAAGUAUUUUCAAACACAUCAACUGAACUUGCAUGCUUACAAAAACAGCUGUUACAAUAUUUAAACAAUUUGAAUGUUUCCAGUGGCCAUUUGAUUCCACAAAUUGGGGGCCAAAAGAAGACAUUAUAUUUUUAUUAGGUUGUACUCCGUGACAUACUUU